AGAGUUUGAUCCUGGCUCAGAUUGAACGCUGGCGGCAGGCCUAACACAUGCAAGUCGAGCGGCAGCAAGCCUUCGGGCGUUGGCGAGCGGCGGACGGGUGAGGAAAGCGCAGGAAUCUGCCUGGUAGAGGGGGAUAGCCCAGAGAAAUUUGGAGUAAUACCGCAUAUGCCCUGAGGGGGAAAGUGGGGGACCGCAAGGCCUCACGCUAUCAGAGGAGCCUGCGUCGGAUUAGCUAGUUGGUGGGGUAAAGGCCUACCAAGGCGACGAUCCGUAGCUGGUCUGAGAGGAUGAUCAGCCACACUGGGACUGAGACACGGCCCAGACUCCUACGGGAGGCAGCAGUGGGGAAUAUUGGACAAUGGGCGAAAGCCUGAUCCAGCCAUGCCGCGUGUGUGAAGAAGGCCUUCGGGUUGUAAAGCACUUUAAGUUGGGAGGAAAGGUUGUUUGUGAAUAAUGAGCAACUGUGACGUUACCGACAGAAUAAGCACCGGCAAACUCCGUGCCAGCAGCCGCGGUAAUACGGAGGGUGCGAGCGUUAAUCGGAAUUACUGGGCGUAAAGCGCACGUAGGCGGUUAUGUAAGUGGUAUGUGAAAUCCCCGGGCUUAACCUGGGACUUGCAUCCCAGACUGCAUGGCUAGAGUAUGGGAGAGGGAGGUGGAAUUUCCGGUGUAGCGGUGAAAUGCGUAGAGAUCGGAAGGAACAUCAGUGGCGAAGGCGGCCUCCUGGCCUAAUACUGACGCUGAGGAGCGAAAGCGUGGGGAUCAAACAGGAUUAGAUACCCUGGUAGUCCACGCUGUAAACGAUGAGAACUAGCCGUUGGAUUCCAUAGAGGAUUUAGUGGCGCAGCUAACGCGAUAAGUUCUCCGCCUGGGGAGUACGGCCGCAAGGUUAAAACUCAAAUGAAUUGACGGGGGCCCGCACAAGCGGUGGAGUAUGUG
rnacentral:rRNA from 1 species